rnacentral:pre_miRNA from 1 species
UUAGUACUCCCUCCUUCCCAAAAUUCUUGUCUUAGAUUUGUCUAAAUACGGAUGUAUCAAGUCAUGUUUUAGUAUUAGGUACAUCCGUAUCUAGACAAAUUUAAGACAAGAAUUUUGGGACGGAGGGAGUAGUUU